CCUACGGGAGGCAGCAGUGGGGAAUUUUCCGCAAUGGGCGAAAGCCUGACGGAGCAACGCCGCGUGAGGGAUGAAGGCCUCUGGGCUGUAAACCUCUUUUAUCAAGGAAGAAGAUCUGACGGUACUUGAUGAAUAAGCCACGGCUAAUUCCGUGCCAGCAGCCGCGGUAAUACGGAGGAUGCAAGCGUUAUCCGGAAUUAUUGGGCGUAAAGCGUCUGUAGGUGGUUCGAAAAGUCCACUGUUAAAAAUUGAGGCUUAACUUCAAAGAUGCCGUGGAAACUUUCAAACUAGAGUAUGGUAGGGGUAGAGGGAAUUUCCAGUGGAGCGGUGAAAUGCGUAGAUAUUGGAAAGACCACCGAUGGCGAAGGCACUCUACUGGGCCAUUACUGACACUGAGAGACGAAAGCUAGGGGAGCAAAUGGGAUUAGAUACCCCAGUAGUC
rnacentral:rRNA from 1 species